UUCAAAAUAAUUUCCCCAUUUUUCCUGCAGCCAUCGCGUCUGCCUCCCCCCUCCCCCUUCUCUUUUCUCCUUCUUCUUCGUCUUCUUCGCAGAUCAGACGCACAGCCACCGUGCGCUGCCAUGUACGCCUGCAGCCGCUACCAACUGGCCUCCCUAUUUCAGUCGCUGAAGACAACCGCCGCCCGUCGCCGAUUCCAUAAGCCGCGGUUCCCGAAAAUCCACCACCAGACACCAGAGCACGACAUCCCUCCUCCGCCGGACCGACCAGCGCCAGCCACCACUGUGCCUCGCACAGUCUGCCUUUGUCAAACGCAUAGCCACCCGCGCCGCCGCCGUCACAUUUGCCUCCCCCGCUGACCAUCCUCCCUUCGAUUCCAACCCGUCGCCGAGAUUCCUUCCUUCACUGCUGCCCGACGCCAAGCCCAGCCAGUCCAAGCUGCACAUCCGUCGACCGGUGUUCCUGUUUCAGCCGCAGAUGCCAGCCGCCGUCGAGUCCCCUUUGACAACCGCCGUUGCGCCUUCGCCCUGCCACUCCUCCGGCUGACUCGAACCGCGCCACUACGUCUCGCUAGUGCAAUUCAAUUUCCCUUCUCUCUAUUCUUUUGUAGGUUUUAUUGUAUUAUGUUUUGGUUAAGAUCUGAUUUAUUGAAUUUUCUUCUAUAGGAUGACAAAUAAAGGGGAAAAAUCUAACAACUUCAAAGAAACAUGCGAAUGUUGUCUAUAAAAUUCCCACGGCAAUCCCACAUAGUUAUUCAGGCUCAUAAGGGAGUGCCUCGCAGCAGAAUCCAAUGCAACAUGGAGUUGAACUUCAAGACCUAUGUAGAAUGUUUGAAUUUGUAGGCAGUCAAGAAAUUCAUGGUGCAGAUAAUUGCGGAGCAUGAUUUUGAAGUACGACCAUGCAUGGGGAAAUGAUUCAUCCUCUCCUUACUUGAAUUGAGAGAUAUGCAUGCAUUGUUGUUCAGUAUUGCUAACAGGAUGAAAGCAGGCUAAGAACUAUUGAUAUCACCUCGAUCGGCGAAGGAUAUGACUUUGGGAAUGAAGUUAAUUCAUUUUUCUAUUUCGCCCUUGAGUGCAAAUGGAAAUAUGAGUAACUUGGCAGCAUCCACAGAUAAACCAUUCCCUUUGAAUGAGAGCAAACCCUAGAAAAGCUCUUCAGGUAGUCGUAUGGGCUCUCAUACAGGAGGCCACUAUAAUGCGUUGGACUACCAGUGAGACUAUCAUUGGCUUCAAUUCAAAGAAUCCCUCCACUCUAUAGAAUUAGGGUAGUGUCCAGUAAAACUUCAUAGUGGGCAUCCAUUUGAACAUUAUUGUGUGGUGCCUGAGGAUUCUGGACUCUUUCUCUUUCAUGUUUUGAUUUCCCUGUUGAUCAGCCA